GUCUAUAUAUGGACAAAAGUAUCAGCAGUUGAUGCCUCACGUUCGCUACCAGCACAAAGUGUAUAUUUUUUCAUUAGAUCUAAAGUCAAUUGAGAUGUGAUUACUAAAAUUUGAAUUUGUGAGAAAAUUUGAACAAAUAUAAUUAAAAUUGUCUUAUGUGGUUGUUGAUGCGGUCGUGCACGAAAUUGAAAAUCACACUGCAAUUGAAGUGCAAUGCAGUUGUAAAGACUACCAUCAGCAAUAUUGCGGCACAAUUGCAGAUGUGGACCACAAUUUGAAUCCAUGGUUGGAAUGAUCCCUUUUUUGUCGUGGUUGUUGGUUGAAUAACAACACUGUGGGAAAAAUAUGUUUUGAAAGUCCU
rnacentral:lncRNA from 1 species